AUGCUUCCCAUAAGUAGAUGUUAUUGGUGACAAUUAUUUAGGUAUUCGAAGGUUCUGAUUCUACUGCAAAUGUACAAAUGCUUUGCUGAGCUUACCAUCAAGACUGACCCACAAAAUUUCAACUAUAUUGUUGAGUCUGGUGCUACCAGAAAUUUUGAACCUGUGUGAAGAUGAUGAGGCAGCAGAGACAAUAACCAUAAAAGAGAAGUUGGAGAGAUGGAAGAUGCAAUGAAAUCUUUAGAGAACAAAAACCUUGGAUUUGGAAAGAAAAAUGGACAUCAUUACUACACUGGAUGGGAUGAAAUCUAUGAAGUUCUUUUUUUUGUAUUUCAUGGACUUAAUCAGCAGACAAGGUACCCCCACAUGGUACUACUCUUUCUUAUCAAUUUUCAGCUUCGAUCUUCUUGGGUUUAAUCCUUAUUCAAAUACGUUAAAACUUUUAAGGUUUUUGUUUUAAUUGGUGGUAGUUGAGAAUUGAGUGAGGAUCUUGCAAAAUAUGCGAAAGUGUUAGAAGUAGGGGCUAAUGGAUUAGGCUAUGAGCUGCUAAAAGACUUGGCUCUAUCAGGUUUCCAUUAUUGGCUUCAAGGCUCUUUAUUGUAUGCAUUUUCUUAUGAGACAUUUUGGCUCUAUCUUUGUAUUCAAUAUUGAAGUUAAGGUAGUUAGAUGUAUAGUUUAGUGAUUUAGGGGGGUGGAUGAAAAUUGUAAGUGAAUAUGAUACUUGGCAGAUUCUUUCAAACAUUGUUCUUUCAAUUGGAGUGACUAAUUGGUUGCUAUACAUAAAGCUCAAC